rnacentral:rRNA from 1 species
UACGAGAGGCCCAAACGUUAUUCGGAUUUACUGGGCUUAAAGAGUUCGUAGGCGGCGCAGAAAGUAGGGUGUGAAAGCCCUCGGCUCAACCGAGGAAUUGCGCUCUAAACUACUGUGCUUGAGGAACCUAGAGGUGAGCAGAACUGAUGGUGGAGCGGUGAAAUGCGUUGAUAUCAUCAGGAAUACCGGAGGCGAAGGCGGCUCACUGGGGG